AUUGAACGCUGGCGGCAGGCCUAACACAUGCAAGUCGAGCGGUAACAGGGGUAGCUUGCUACCCGCUGACGAGCGGCGGACGGGUGAGUAAUGCAUAGGAAUCUGCCCGAUAGUGGGGGAUAACCUGGGGAAACCCAGGCUAAUACCGCAUACGUCCUACGGGAGAAAGGGGGCUUUGGCUCCCGCUAUUGGAUGAGCCUAUGUCGGAUUAGCUAGUUGGUAAGGUAAUGGCUUACCAAGGCAACGAUCCGUAGCUGGUCUGAGAGGAUGAUCAGCCACAUCGGGACUGAGACACGGCCCGAACUCCUACGGGAGGCAGCAGUGGGGAAUAUUGGACAAUGGGGGCAACCCUGAUCCAGCCAUGCCGCGUGUGUGAAGAAGGCCCUCGGGUUGUAAAGCACUUUCAGCGAGGAAGAACGCCUGUCGGUUAAUACCCGGUAGGAAAGACAUCACUCGCAGAAGAAGCACCGGCUAACUCCGUGCCAGCAGCCGCGGUAAUACGGAGGGUGCAAGCGUUAAUCGGAAUUACUGGGCGUAAAGCGCGCGUAGGUGGCUUGAUAAGCCGGUUGUGAAAGCCCCGGGCUCAACCUGGGAACGGCAUCCGGAACUGUCAGGCUAGAGUGCAGGAGAGGAAGGUAGAAUUCCCGGUGUAGCGGUGAAAUGCGUAGAGAUCGGGAGGAAUACCAGUGGCGAAGGCGGCCUUCUGGACUGACACUGACACUGAGGUGCGAAAGCGUGGGUAGCAAACAGGAUUAGAUACCCUGGUAGUCCACGCCGUAAACGAUGUCGACCAGCCGUUGGGUGCCUAGAGCACUUUGUGGCGAAGUUAACGCGAUAAGUCGACCGCCUGGGGAGUACGGCCGCAAGGUUAAAACUCAAAUGAAUUGACGGGGGCCCGCACAAGCGGUGGAGCAUGUGGUUUAAUUCGAUGCAACGCGAAGAACCUUACCUACCCUUGACAUCUACAGAAGCCGGAAGAGAUUCGGGUGUGCCUUCGGGAACUGUAAGACAGGUGCUGCAUGGCUGUCGUCAGCUCGUGUUGUGAAAUGUUGGGUUAAGUCCCGUAACGAGCGCAACCCUUGUCCUUAUUUGCCAGCACGUAAUGGUGGGA
rnacentral:rRNA from 1 species